rnacentral:rRNA from 1 species
AUUGAACGCUGGCGGCAGGCCUAACACAUGCAAGUCGAACGGUAACAGGAAGAAGCUUGCUUCUUUGCUGACGAGUGGCGGACGGGUGAGUAAUGUCUGGGAAACUGCCUGAUGGAGGGGGAUAACUACUGGAAACGGUAGCUAAUACCGCAUAACGUCGCAAGACCAAAGAGGGGGACCUUCGGGCCUCUUGCCAUCGGAUGUGCCCAGAUGGGAUUAGCUAGUAGGUGGGGUAACGGCUCACCUAGGCGACGAUCCCUAGCUGGUCUGAGAGGAUGACCAGCCACACUGGAACUGAGACACGGUCCAGACUCCUACGGGAGGCAGCAGUGGGGAAUAUUGCACAAUGGGCGCAAGCCUGAUGCAGCCAUGCCGCGUGUAUGAAGAAGGCCUUCGGGUUGUAAAGUACUUUCAGCGGGGAGGAAGGGAGUAAGGUUAAUACCUUUACUCAUUGACGUUACCCGCAGAAGAAGCACCGGCUAACUCCGUG